CGGAAUGUAGCUCAGUGGUAGAGCACUUGCCUAGCAUAUGAGAGGUUCUGUGUUCAAUUCUCAGCACUGA
rnacentral:tRNA from 1 species